GGCCAGGACUCAGGGCUACCGCUUGCGAAGUCCAGGCUCUCCCCAGCGCUGCUAACGGCUGCCCUCUUACACAGGUUUCAGGCUCGUGUUCUUAGAAAUGUGCCAGUGGUGCACAAGAUCCCCUAACCGUUGGAGUGUUUACUGAAAGCCUGAAAGUGCUAAGAGAGAUGGAAAAAGAAACCUUGAGGGUCUUGCUCUGUUGCCCACGCUGGAGUGCAGCGGCGUGAUCUCUGCUCACUGCAACCUCCACCUCCUAGGUUCAAGUGAUUCUCCUGCCUCAGCCUUCUGAGUAGCUG